rnacentral:rRNA from 1 species
CCUUACUACUUGGAUAACCGUGGUAAUUCUAGAGCUAAUACAUGCUAAAAACCUCGACUUCGGAAGGGGUGUAUUUAUUAGAUAAAAAACCAAUGCCCUUCGGGGCUCCUUGGUGAUUCAUAAUAACUUAACGAAUCGCAUGGCCUUGUGCCGGCGAUGGUUCAUUCAAAUUUCUGCCCUAUCAACUUUCGAUGGUAGGAUAGUGGCCUACCAUGGUUUCAACGGGUAACGGGGAAUUAGGGUUCUAUUCCGGAGAGGGAGCCUGAGAAACGGCUACCACAUCCAAGGAAGGCAGCAGGCGCGCAAAUUACCCAAUCCCGACACGGGGAGGUAGUGACAAUAAAUACUGAUACAGGGCUCUUUUGGGUCUUGUAAUUGGAAUGAGUACAAUUUAAAUCCCUUAACGAGGAACAAUUGGAGGGCAAGUCUGGUGCCAGCAGCCGCGGUAAUUCCAGCUCCAAUAGCGUAUAUUAAAGUUGUUGCAGUUAAAAAGCUCGUAGUUGAACCUUGGGCCUGGUUGGUCGGUCCGCCUCACCGCGUGCACUGAUCCGACCGGGUCUUUCCUUCUGGGGAGCCGCAUGCCCUUCACUGGGUGUGUCGGGGAACCAGGACUUUUACUUUGAAAAAAUUAGAGUGUUCAAAGCAGGCCUAUGCUCGAAUACAUUAGCAUGGAAUAAUAGAAUAGGACGUGUGGUUCUAUUUUGUUGGUUUCUAGGACCGCCGUAAUGAUUAAUAGGGAUAGUCGGGGGCAUCAGUAUUCCGUUGUCAGAGGUGAAAUUCUUGGAUUUACGGAAGACUAACUACUGCGAAAGCAUUUGCCAAGGAUGUUUUCAUUAAUCAGUGAACGAAAGUUAGGGGAUCGAAGACGAUCAGAUACCGUCGUAGUCUUAACCAUAAACUAUGCCGACUAGGGA